CCUACGGGGGGCUGCAGUGGGGAAUAUUGGACAAUGGGGGCAACCCUGAUCCAGCCAUGCCGCGUGUGUGAAGAAGGCCCUCGGGUUGUAAAGCACUUUCAGUGAGGAAGAACGCCUGGUGGUUAAUACCCAUCAGGAAAGACAUCACUCACAGAAGAAGCACCGGCUAACUCCGUGCCAGCAGCCGCGGUAAUACGGAGGGUGCGAGCGUUAAUCGGAAUUACUGGGCGUAAAGCGCGCGUAGGUGGCUUGAUAAGCCGGUUGUGAAAGCCCCGGGCUCAACCUGGGAACGGCAUCCGGAACUGUCAAGCUAGAGGGCAGGAGAGGAAGGUAGAAUUCCCGGUGUAGCGGUGAAAUGCGUAGAGAUCGGGAGGAAUACCAGUGGCGAAGGCGGCCUUCUGGACUGACACUGACACUGAGGUGCGAAAGCGUGGGUAGCAAACAGGAUUAGAUACCCUUGUAGUC
rnacentral:rRNA from 1 species